rnacentral:rRNA from 1 species
GACGAACGCUGGCGGCGUGCUUAACACAUGCCAGUCGAACGGAAAGGCCCCUUUGGGGGUACUCGAGUGGCGAACGGGUGAGUAACACGUGAGUAACCUGCCCUUGACUUCGGGAUAACUUCAGGAAACUGGGGCUAAUACCGGAUAGGAAUCCUUGCUGCAUGGUGGGGGUUGGAAAGCUUCGGCGGUUUUGGAUGGACUCGCGGCUUAUCAGCUUGUUUGUGGGGUAGUGGCUUACCAAGGCUUUGACGGGUAGCCGGCCUGAGAGGGCGACCGGCCACAUUGGGACUGAGAUAAGGCCCAGACUCCUACGGGAGGCAGCAGUGGGGAAUAUUGCACAAUGGGCGGAAGCCUGAUGCAGCAACGCCGCGUGCGGGAUGACGGCCUUCGGGUUGUAAACCGCUUUCAGCAGGGGCGAAGCUUGUGGUGACGGUACCUGCAGAAGAAGCACCGGCUAACUACGUG